UCCCUGGUGGUCCAGUGGUUAGGAGUCAGUGCUUUCACUCUUGUGGCCUAGGUUCAAUCCCUGGUUGGGGAA
rfam:TPA: Bos taurus chromosome 18, whole genome shotgun sequence.